CUUUAAUUGAUCUGACGAGCUUGCUCUGAUUUGAUUUUAUCUGACAAAGAGUGGCGAACGGGUGAGUAACACGUGGGUAACCUACCUCUUAGCAGGGGAUAACAUUUGGAAACAAGUGCUAAUACCGUAUAAUACCAACAACCGCAUGGUUGUUGGUUGAAAGAUGGUUCUGCUAUCACUAAGAGAUGGACCCGCGGUGCAUUAGCUAGUUGGUAAGGUAACGGCUUACCAAGGCAAUGAUGCAUAGCCGAGUUGAGAGACUGAUCGGCCACAAUGGGACUGAGACACGGCCCAUACUCCUACGGGAGGCAGCAGUAGGGAAUCUUCCACAAUGGGCGCAAGCCUGAUGGAGCAACGCCGCGUGUGUGAUGAAGGGUUUCGGCUCGUAAAACACUGUUAUAAGAGAAGAACGGCACUGAGAGUAACUGUUCAGUGUGUGACGGUAUCUUACCAGAAAGGAACGGCUAACUACGUGG
rnacentral:rRNA from 1 species